GAUCUGGCUCAGGAUGAACGCUAGCUACAGGCUUAACACAUGCAAGUCGAGGGGCAGCAUAACGAAGCUGCUUUGUGAUGGCGACCGGCGCACGGGUGAGUAACGCGUAUCCAACCUUCCCCAUAGUAGAGAAUAGCCCGGCGAAAGUCGGAUUAAUGCUCUAUGUUGUAUCAUGAGGACAUCUGAAUAAUACCAAAGGUUUACCGCUAUGGGAUGGGGAUGCGUCUGAUUAGGUUGUUGGCGGGGUAACGGCCCACCAAGCCCACGAUCAGUAGGGGUUCUGAGAGGAAGGUCCCCCACAUUGGAACUGAGACACGGUCCAAACUCCUACGGGAGGCAGCAGUGAGGAAUAUUGGUCAAUGGACGGAAGUCUGAACCAGCCAAGUAGCCGUGCAGGAUGACGGCCCUAUGGGUUGUAAACUGCUUUUAUACAGGGAUAAAGUGAGGGACGUGUCCCUUUUUGUAGGUACUGUAUGAAUAAGGACCGGCUAAUUCCGUGCCAGCCGCCGC
rnacentral:rRNA from 1 species